rnacentral:misc_RNA from 1 species
CUCUCUCUCUCUCUCUAUGUAUCUCUGCAACUAAAGCUUCUGCAGUUUUCACUCAAAUGGUAAUAACCGUAUUUGAAGCCUGCAAGAAAAGAAAAAGAACCCCAAAUAUCUUCACUAUUUCUUACUUUGCCGGCUCCACGGACUCCGCGACGAUGAUGGAGUACUUUCGCGGUUCCUUCAAAGACAACAUCCGAGAGUUUCUUAAACGCUGCGCAGAGACCGAAGAUUACAGUGUUGGAGCCAAUCCUGUAUGGUGUACUUUGCUUGUCAGUGAAUCCAGCGGCGUCGUUUUCCCUCUCUACAUUGUUCAAGAGAACGUCAAGGGCUCCUCGUCCUCCCAGCCUCUCUGUAACCUCUGCAGAUACGUUGGAUGGAGUCACCAUUUUGUGUCUAAAAGAAACUAUCACCUCAUAGUUCCUGAGGAUCAUAACUGGAGUAAGCCUCUAAAGAAAGAAUCCCUUAAGCUGCAAACCCAUCUCUUACAUGGUAUCAUUCAUUGCAAUGGCUUUGGCCAUCUACUCUGCAUCAAGACUGAAACAAUCUCAAACUAUCUUCAAGAAGAAGAGCUUAUGAACCUCUGGGAUCAUCUCUGCGCAAGUCUCCAAACAAGAGAUAUUUCAGUGUAUGAUAUGUCAAAGAAGGGAUUGAUGAACCUUAGAUUGCUUCAUGGAGUCGCGUAUGGCCAUUCUUGGUUCGGCAAAUGGGGUUACAAGUUAUGCCGUGGAAGCUUUGGGCUUACAAAGCAAGAAUACAGCAGAGCCAUUGAGAUCCUCAGGUCACUAGACCUCAGUAAUAUUAUUCAUGACUUCACUAAAAAAGGACAAGGCAAAUUGAUUGAACAAAUGAUUCAAUCUUAUAGAGAUGUUAGCGAGACCCAGUUGGUCACCAUCAGUGAUUUGCUCCAAUUCAUGCUUGCUUUUAAGUUCAAAUCCCUCAUCCAAAGGAAAACAGCCUUAGCAUUGGCUUCAAUCUCGUCAAAUUCCUCAACACAAACAACCCAUCAAGCCAAAACACCUUUGCUUAGCCAUCCUAGUGAGGAUAACUCAUUUGCUUCUCAGAAUACAGAUGACCAUCGGACACUUUCUUCUUUUGUUGCUAAAUUGGAUGCUAGAUGGCCUGCAAGAAGAUUAGAGAAUGCAGUGAAAGUGAUUUUUCACAUUUUGAAAACACAUGGGGCUGGAAUGCAUCGCCAGGACUUGCGAGACGCCAUUAGAGAACACAUUGGUGACACUGGUUUGAUUGAUUUUGUUCUAAAACAUAUUAAUAAAGUUAUUGUGGGCAAUCAAAUUAUUCUACGUGAAAACAACCCAACUACCAAAUUAUUAGAGUUUUCACUUGAAAAAGCUUCUGAUGGAGCAAUUGAAAGGAAAACGCAGUCCCAUACUGAUAUUCUGUCUCUACAACCAGGACUAGAUGUUUAUAAGGAUCUGCUUUUCUUGUACAAGAAUGUUUUAUUAGGCUACCCUGAAUAUCACGCAGUUAGCAUAGCGUCCACUGUAGUCUUGGACAGCAAGCAUUUUGUUAAGAAGUGGCAGUUUAAGAGAAAUGGCGAGGAUAAUUUACUGAGGCUAAUUUGCCAAGUUAAGCCGAGUUACGAUGAAUUGGUGAAUGAGCUGAUUCGACCAUUGCCACCAGGUGAACUGGUGGUGACCCAAAAAUGUGCUACAGUUCGUGAGCUCAAACUGAUGGUGCAAUGUGCAUUAAUAGACACAUAUUUUGUAAUGGACAAGUUUGUAGUGAAGGAUAUACGGAUUGGUGAAUUGGUGGCAAAGGAGGACCAAGAAUUACUUGAGUGUGGAGUGGAGCAGGGUAUGCAAGUUUGGGUGAGAGGCUGUGGAUUGGACUUGGAUACAGAACUGAGGUACCAAGGUGGGGAUAAUGAUUGGACCGUGGAUUGUAGGUGUGGGGCCAAGGAUGAUGACGGAGAGAGAAUGGUGGCAUGUGAUGUUUGCCAUGUUUGGCAGCAUACUAGGUGCAAUGGCAUUAACGAUGGUGAUGUUCCUCCUUCGUUUCUGUGUCAUGUGUGCAGGUCCAGGAUGAAGAAGCUGGCUGGGGGCAAGAUGUAAUUCCCACGAGAAACACAAAUUUGCAGUAUAGCUCCUGAAAACGUGUUGCCUCAAUAUUCAUGCAAGAUUAUUGUUCAAAAGAAGAAUUCACUUGGCAUGAUUCCGUUAUCCAGUUACUGAUUUAUUUUUUAAUUUUGAAAAGAAAAUUUACAAAGCAGAUUAAAUUGUAUUUAGAAUUAAAAAUGCAAUAUUCUAUCAAGUACAAAUAUCAAA